UACGAUAUGGGCUAGCGUUGAUCGGAAUUACUGGGCGUAAAGCGCACGUAGGCGGCCUUGUAAGAUGGGGGUGAAAUCCCCGGGCUCAACCCGGGAACUGCCUUCAUGACUGCAAAGCUAGAGGAUGCGAGAGGUUAGCGGAAUUCCGAGUGUAGAGGUGAAAUUCGUAGAUAUUCGGAAGAACACCAGUGGCGAAGGCGGCUAACUGGCGCAUUUCUGACGCUGAGGUGCGAAAGCGUGGGGAGCAAACAGG
rnacentral:rRNA from 1 species